UCUUCGGCAAUGGACGAAAGUCUGACCGAGCAACGCCGCGUGAGUGAAGAAGGGUUUCUGAUCGUAAAACUCUGUUGUUAGAGAAGAACAAGGACGUUAGUAACUGAACGUCCCCCGACGGUCUCUAACCCACAAGCUACGGCUAACUACGUGCCAGCAGCCGCGGUAAUACGUAGGUGGCAAGCGUUGUCCGGAUUUAUUGGGCGUAAAGCGAGCGCAGGCGGUUUCUUAAGUCUGAUGUGAAAGCCCCCGGCUCAACCGGGGAGGGUCAUUGGAAACUGGGAGACUUGAGUGCAGAAGAGGAGAGUGGAAUUCCAUGUGUAGCGGUGAAAUGCGUAGAUAUAUGGAGGAACACCAGUGGCGAAGGCGGCUCUCUGGUCUGUAACUGACGCUGAGGCUCGAAAGCGUGGGGAGCAAACAG
rnacentral:rRNA from 1 species